rnacentral:lncRNA from 1 species
UGCUGAGUUUUGGGCUUUCUGGAUUUAUUUUAUUUUAUUUUAUUUUUUUCUUGAUUCAGUUUGAGCUUUUUUAGGUUGUUGUUGGUUGGAGAUGUUUCGGUGGCUUCAGUGGGGUGUUUUUUCACAUUAAAAAUAGUGUCAGACAAGACUCCUGAUUGAUUGGUCUGUUUGGUUUCUUUUCUUCUGCCUAGCUUUCAACAUUCACAAACUCAUCUAAUUGUUCAGGACAUACUGAGUAUCUGCACUUACAGAAAUCAAGCUCAGGUGGAACUCCCUUGAAAGCAAGGCACCGGGAAGCCAAGAUGGGUUUUCAGAAACUUCUACACCCCGUAUUGCCCUUCCCUCCCCUGCUGCUACCAGCCCAGGGGAUGAGUCCACCCCAAAAAGGCCAACGUAGCCCUGGAAGUGGAGAGCUACUCAAUGCAGACAGCCCAGCCAGUGGUGCCUUCCUACUGAUAGGACCGAAUCCCAGCACGGAGCCAUCGCCACAGGCAGGAGGAUGACAAACAGGAGGCACAACAGGUACAAGGCAGAAAUCCGUCUUAAAUUCACUUGACUCGUCAGCUGUUUUAUGGGCCUUGUUGUCGCUGCUCGCACACUUGUAUUCUGCUGGUGUCAGUACAGCAACUUCACUGAAGUCCUCCUGUGUAAGAGCACUUCAGGCCCUCCAGAC